CCUACGGGUGGCAGCAGUCGAGAAUCUUUCACAAUGGGGGAAACCCUGAUGCUGCGACGCCGCGUGGGGGAAUGAAGGUCUUCGGAUUGUAAACCCCUGUCAUGUGGGAGCAAAUUAAAAAGAUAGUACCACAAGAGGCAGAGACGGCUAACUCGGUGCCCGCAGCCGCGGUAAUAGAGAGGUCUCAAGCGUUGUUCGGAAUCACUGGGCGUAAAGCGGGCGUAGGCUGUUUCGUAAGUCGGGUGUGAAAGGCGCGGGCUCAACCCGCGGACGGCACAUGAUACUGCGAGACUAGAGUAAUGGAGGGGGAGGCGGAAUUCUUGGUGUAGCAGUGAAAUGCGUAGAUA
rnacentral:rRNA from 1 species